GUUUUAUAAUGCGUUAUACGCUGAUUACAUUCUGAGACUACAAGUGUAUGUGUAAAACAUAGGAAGAGCGACCAGAACAAGUCCAGCCACUCGACCUACAAUAGGUGCACAGGUGUAAGGUUGGAUUGAGUAGAGAGCGUGCACAUGCCUUGCGGCCAGCUACAACUCUCCUGUUUACUCGUUAAUGAUCCUUCCGCAGGUUCACCUACGGAAA
rnacentral:misc_RNA from 1 species